AGGGGAGUUGGGUGUGGUGAAGGAGGGGAAGAAGAGGGACUUGAAGGAGAUUAUCACCUCUUUACUGCUGUUGGAAGAGCAGCAGAAGCGUGAUCAGGAGGAGUUCGACAGGACUCUGGAGGAGGAGAAGAUGGUGUUUGAAGAGAAUCAUAAGAAGAAGACCAGAGCCAUGAUGGACUACUAUUCAAAUCUCCAGGACUACUACAAUGAAUUGGAUGAUAUGGAUCAAGCUAGGAGGAAACGCUGCAAUUCAGCCUCUGCCACCACUGCCGCUGCCGCCGGUGCUGCCGGAGCCGCUUCUCUUGAGUUUUCAGACAGUUCAGUCAAGCCUGGGAGUGGUGCAAGAAGGUUAUGGGUGAAGGACAGGUCCAAAGCUUGGUGGGAUGAAUGCAACAAGCCAGAGUUUCCAGAGGAGGAGUUCAGAAAGGCCUUUAGGAUGAGCAGAGCAACAUUUGAUAUGAUAUGUGAUGAGCUCAAUUCAGUGGUUGCAAAGGAGGAUACCAUGUUGAGAGCUGCAAUUCCUGUGAGGCAAAGAGUGGCUGUUUGUAUAUGGAGGUUAGCGACUGGUGAGCCUCUAAGGCUUGUGUCAAAGAAGUUCGGUUUAGGUAUAUCCACUUGCCAUAAGCUUGUUCUUGAGGUUUGUUCUGCUAUAAGGACUGUUUUGAUGCCCAAGUAUCUGCAGUGGCCAGAUGAGGAGACAUUGAGGAGGAUGAAGGAUGAGUUUGAAUCAAUUUCAGGGAUACCCAAUGUUGUUGGCUCUAUGUAUACCACCCAUAUCCCAAUCAUAGCCCCAAAGAUCAGUGUGGCAGCCUAUUUCAAUAGGAGGCAUACAGAGAGGAACCAGAAGACUUCUUACUCCAUUACAGUUCAGGGUGUUGUUGAUCCAAAAGGGGUGUUUACUGAUGUAUGCAUUGGGUGGCCUGGUUCCAUGCCUGAUGAUCAGGUGUUGGAGAAAUCUGCCCUUUAUCAGAGGGCUAAUGGGGGGCUUUUGAAGGGCGUUUGGAUUGUUGGAGGUUCAGGGUACCCUCUAAUGGAUUGGGUGAUGGUGCCUUACACUCAGCAGAAUCUCACCUGGACACAGCAUGCAUUCAAUGAGAAAAUUGGGGAGAUUCAGAGGGUUUCUAGGGAGGCAUUUGCGCGGUUGAAAGCGCGGUGGUGUUGUCUGCAGAAGAGAACAGAGGUGAAACUCCAGGACCUCCCUGUGGUUCUUGGGGCCUGCU
rnacentral:lncRNA from 1 species